GCUGCGGAGCCCCGGGAGCUGCGGAGCCCCGGAGCUGCGGAGCCCCGGAGCUGCGGAAUUUCUGCCCCGGGAGCUGCGGAGCCCCGGGAGCUGCGGAGCCCCCGGAGCUGCGGAGCCGCUGCCCCCGGAGCUGCGGAGCCCCGGGAGCUGCGGAGCCCCCGGAGCUGCGGAGCCCCCGGAGCUGCGGAGCCCCGGAGCUGCGGAGCCCCGGAAUUUCUGCCCCGGGAGCUGCGGAAUUUCUGCCCCGGGAGCUGCGGAGCCGCUGGCCCGGGAGCUGCGGAGCCCCGGGAGCUGCGGAGCCCCCGGAGCUGCGGAGCCCCGGAGCUGCGGAGCCCCCGGAGCUGCGGAAUUUCUGCCCCGGGAGCUGCGAAAUCGCUGCCCCGGGAGCUGCGAGCAGCCGAGCCGCAGAGCCUGGAGCUUUUCUGCUUCUUGGAGUGGGUCACGGGGAAGGAACACGUAGAGCUUGUUUGCCAGCCGCAUGAUUUGGCUUAUUUGCUCUCUUGUAGCAGGUGCUUAAUUGUGGCAGAAAAGGGUUCCCGGCAGCUUUCUGGGCAGCCAAAUUCCCGCCUGCCCCUUUCGCAGCCAGGCAAAACAAAAGCACGAUUGUCAACCGCAGGCGGAGCGGAGCUCUCUCGGGCCUCCUUCCCGGGAGAAAAGGUUUCCCGGCAGGAGAGAGCGGACGAUGGAGGCACCCAGGCUCUGCAAGGAGAGGGCGCAGGGAUCUGUGAGAUCACCCCGAACACGGACUCGCAUCCUAAAGCCACCCCCUGCCCUCCCGGUGUCACCCCCCAACCCUGGGGACACAAAGGUGUUGGGAAGGCGAGUUCUGGGCUGCCCAAGCAGCGUCCUGGUGUGGGGACAGAGCUGUCCCUUGUCUCCCCAUUGUCCCCGUAUCUCGCUGCCAGCUCUGCCCUCCUCAUGCCACCCUACGGAUCAGCCGAAACGGAUCAGUCCAUGGAACACACGCACAGACC
rnacentral:lncRNA from 1 species